rnacentral:rRNA from 1 species
AACACGUGGGUAACUGCCCAUCAGAAGGGGAUAACACUUGGAAACAGGUGCUAAUACCGUAUAACAAUCGAAACCGCAUGGUUUCGUUUUGAAAGGCGCUUUACGGUGCCGCUGAUGGAUGGACCCGCGGUGCAUUAGCUAGUUGGUGAGGUAACGGCUCACCAAGGCCACGAUGCAUAGCCGACCUGAGAGGGUGAUCGGCCACAUUGGGACUGAGACACGGCCCAAACUCCUACGGGAGGCAGCAGUAGGGAAUCUUCGGCAAUGGACGAAAGUCUGACCGAGCAACGCCGCGUGAGUGAAGAAGGUUUUCGGAUCGUAAAACUCUGUUGUUAGAGAAGAACAAGGGUGAGAGUAACUGUUCACCCCUUGACGGUAUCUAACCAGAAAGCCACGGCUAACUACGUGCCAGCAGCCGCGGUAAUACGUAGGUGGCAAGCUUGUCCGGAUUUAUUGGGCGUAAAGCGAGCGCAGGCGGUUUCUUAAGUCUGAUGUGAAAGCCCCCGGCUCAACCGGGGAGGGUCAUUGGAAACUGGGAGACUUGAGUGCAGAAGAGGAGAGUGGAAUUCCAUGUGUAGCGGUGAAAUGCGUAGAUAUAUGGAGGAACACCAGUGGCGAAGGCGGCUCUCUGGUCUGUAACUGACGCUGAGGCUCGAAAGCGUGGGGAGCAAACAGGAUUAGAUACCCUGGUAGUCCACGCCGUAAACGAUGAGUGCUAAGUGUUGGAGGGUUUCCGCCCUUCAGUGCUGCAGCUAACGCAUUAAGCACUCCGCCUGGGGAGUACGACCGCAAGGUUGAAACUCAAAGGAAUUGACGGGGGCCCGCACAAGCGGUGGAGCAUGUGGUUUAAUUCGAAGCAACGCGAAGAACCUUACCAGGUCUUGACAUCCUUUGACCACUCUAGAGAUAGAGCUUCCCCUUCGGGGGCAAAGUGACAGGUGGUGCAUGGUUGUCGUCAGCUCGUGUCGUGAGAUGUUGGGUUAAGUCCCGCAACGAGCGCAACCCUUAUUGUUAGUUGCCAUCAUUUAGUUGGGCACUCUAGCAAGACUGCCGGUGACAAACCGGAGGAAGGUGGGGAUGACGUCAAAUCAUCAUGCCCCUUAUGACCUGGGCUACACACGUGCUACAAUGGGAAGUACAACGAGUCGCGAAGUCGCGAGGCUAAGCUAAUCUCUUAAAGCUUCUCUCAGUUCGGAUUGUAGGCUGCAACUCGCCUACAUGAAGCCGGAAUCGC